rnacentral:misc_RNA from 1 species
GCCACAGUCUGCUACGUUGUCCAAGCCGCUUUUCCUCGCAAAUAAUAUCCUUGCCCAUUUGUUGUAGCAGAUCAUGAAUAUGUAACUUGUUUUUCGUAAUAGAAAUAAGAGACAUAUCAGCUAGACGACUAAUUCCAAUUAUUGAGCCAGGGAUAUCCAGUAAAUUUUCAACAAGACCUACAUCUUCCCCUUUGAAGAAGCACACAAUGUCAAGAAAAAUUUCCUUGUCCUUUGCAGAAAGAGCAUCAUAGCUUAGUCUCAAUAUUCUCUGAAUUUUUUCAUCAGAUGUACUUUGCAAUUUUUCUAAUUCAUCUGCCCAUUCUCUCACACUUCUACCAUAUAAAUUGGAACCCAAAACUUUAAUGGCUAAAGGAAUGCCUUGAGCAUAUUCAACGGCCUUAUCUGACAGCACCAUAUGUUCUUUUCCUGCAAUAUCUUGUUUGAAGGCAUGGAAGCGAAAAAGACAAGAAGAUUCACAGUCAUUCAAUUUCUCAACUUCAUAUAUUUGAGCCUCCAUGUUCCUAAGCAGUUGCUUAUCUCUGCUUGUUAUAAUGAAUUUGCUACCUGGACCAUAGAUAGCAGGUUUUCCUAUGGAACGUUCUAUUUGAUCUGAAUCACUCACAUCAUCAAGAGCAAUGAGAACUUUUUCUCGUGACAACCGUCUCCUGGUGGACAGACCUAAAUUACAACUUUCCCUUCCUAAUACUUGAAAAAGGAUUUCCUUUCGUACAGCAUCUGGUCCGCACUUUUCAAACUUUUCCCUGACAUUUGCAGCAAAGCAUCGCCUAUUGAAUUGAUCAGAAAUUCGAUCAAAUAAUUUUUCAGCAAUGGUGGUUUUUCCUAUACCACCCAUCCCCCAAAUUCCUAAAACACGCGUAGACUCAAGGCAUAAUAAGGAUUGAGCAUCCUUGACACGGGAAUCAAUUCCAACUAACCCUUCAUCAAAAGAAUCACUUGGAAACACAUCAUUUAAUUUUUCUGAAAUGUGUUUGACAAUUUCCUUAAUUAGCUCGGAGUCAGGCUUAAUGUUAUGGGAAACCAACCCUGCUAUCCCAGCAAUUUCUCUCAAAGCUUGGCACCAGCUCUCCACCUUGUCUAAAGAGUUGUUGAAAACUUCUCUAUGCUUAGCAAGUGCAGCUCCAAAGCUACCUGUAAGUUCUUGAACAUGGGUUGGAUCUAUACAGUAGAAAACUGGUAAAACCAUUUGUUCCAUGUCUUUCAUGCACUCAAGUAUCUUCACAAGUUCUUCCAAACACCAGGGAGAAUAAGCAUAAUUUUCCGAAAAAAUGACCAACGAAAAGUAUGACUCUUCAAUUAUUUCCAAGAGGGAGGAUGAGAUCUCUUCUCCUCUAUCAAGUUUUUCAUCCACAAAGGUAUUGACUUCGUUUUGGCGCAAAGCCUCCCGCAAAUGGCUGAGAAAACCAUCGCGGAUAUCGGCACCUCUAAAACUAAUGAACACAUCGUACUUCUUCGAUUGAAAAGUGAUCAAGGAAGAAGAAGAAGAAGCCAUAAUUGAGUAAAAGGGAACACAACAAUUGUAUAUAAAGGAAAGAGGAAGACAAGAACACAGCAAUUGUAUGAAGGAAAGAGGAAGACAAGGCUUUUG